CUGGUGCUAGUUUUUCUUUAUAUGAUGUCUGCUUUCAUUCUGUUUAUGACUUUUUAAUAUUAUAUGCACAUUGACUGAAAGUAACAAAGAGAAAAGGUUUGCCAUUUGCCAGUUUGUGGUUUGUUGCAAAUUUCUUAACAUCUGUCUAGCCAUUCCUCAUUUGUAAAAUGUGGAUGAUAAUAGUACCUACCUCAUGGGAUUGUUAUGAGGAUUAAGUGAGUUAAUAUUUCUGAAAUGCAUAAAACAGUGCCUGGCACAUUGUAUUAUACAAGUGUCUCUUACCAGCCAGCAUAUCCUUUAUAUGCUGAGUGAAAAAAAUAAUUCCAGAUAUGAAUAUAGUCUGAGACUAUAUGAUACCCACAUCAUCUUAGCAAAAUACAUUGCCCCAAAAGGACUCAAACUGGACUAAGAAAGAAACCAAAACUAAUUAACUAAUUUUAUCUUGUAGAUGGGUUUUUUUGUUUUGUUUUUUAAUGUUCAAUACCUGACCUUUUUUUUUUCCCUUGAAGGUAUAUGGGGUUCUUUUUCUCUCUUUUACCUCUCACACCUUUUUUAUUUUUUGUUUUUUUAGUCUAGAAACUUUUUGGUGCUGGGGAUUGAACCCAGGGCCUUGUGCAUGCAAGGCAAGCACUGUACCAACUGAGCUAUAUCCCCAGCCCCUAGUCUAGAAACUUGUAUGAUUUUUAUCCUCAGAAUACAGAGUUUUAUGAAGCUAUGUCUAGGUGUGCAUAUUUUCUCUAACAAUCCUAACUAGGAUUUAGUGAACCCCUUCAAUCUGGAGAUUUAAGUUUUCUUUCUUUACUUAUUACUAUUCCUUCAUCUAAAUUUCCUUAAAAUCUCUUGGCACUCUUGAGAUUUUUUUUUUUUUUUUAAUGAGAAAUGUCCUUGGACCUGCCCUUGGCAUUUUCUUUUCAUCUUUUCUCUCAUGAGAUCCAUUUUACGUGUUGGCUAAGUGUUUUAAGAUUGACCUUUACUUGUUUUUAAAAUCUAAUUGCAAUCUAAAUAAUGACCUUUCUUUGCCUCAACUUAUCUACUUACUUUAUAAUUCAAAACUGAUGAUUUACAGUGUGCACACCUAUAAUCCCAGCUACUCAGGAGUCUAAGGCAGGAGUAUCACAAGUUCAAGGCCAGCCUGGGCAGCUUAGUGAGCCUGUCUCAAAGUGAAAAAUUAAAAGAGCUGGGAAUGUAGCUCCUGGUAGAACGCCCCUGGAUUCAAUCCCCUCUAUGGCAAAAAAACCAAAUGAAACAAAACAAAACACUCCAAAGUUUGCAAUUUGUUUUUCAGGUUUCCUUAAGCACUUUUUUCUGUUUGUUUAAAGUGGCUUCUUUGUCCUCCAGUGGUUCUGUUUCAAGAGGUGUUUUGCAGUUGUGGGUUCUCUGCUUAUUCCUCCUCACUCUGGCUGUUAUUUAGGCACCUUGUUUCCAUUUGCUCAGGGCUGAUGUCCUUCUGCUGGGGUACCUCUGAGGCACCAUUGUUUUCUGUCUCAGGGUGCAUUGUUACCCAGGCCAGAAAUCGGUCUGUCCACAAUUGAAAACACUUGGCUCCCUGGGCUCCUCAGUCUGGGAGAGGAUGGAAAGGAUUCAAUCUUUCGGUUCUCCACUGAUCCCCAAGGGCCAAAGAUAUAAAAAGGAGUGCUCGUGAGAUCCUGUAUGAACUUGGGUUAGUGAGUGACUCCAGUUAGUGACACCAGUCCUCAUCCCAAGACUCUUACUCUCUUUAUGGUCCCCAUCUUUCUUGGGACCUGGAGGGGAGAGUCCUGAGUUUCCUCUAUUUAGAGCUGGAAGGCCACCUGAGACUCCAUACCUGCCUACUGCCAGUCUGGGAGAAGUGGUUGGUAUUUGGGUUGAAAUUGAGUGAGCAACAAGAACACAUUCCCACAGCUAUUUUCUUUUGGUAUAGGGGAUUGAACCCAGGAGGGCUUUACUACUGAGCUACAUCCCCAGCCCUUUUUAUUUUACUUAUUUAUUUAUUUUUUGAGAUGGUCUCACAAGUUGCUUAGGGCCUUCCUAAAUUUCUGAGACUGGCCUUAAACUUUAGAUCCUCUUGCCUCAGCCUCCCUGGUUGCUGGGAUUACAGACACAUGCCACCCAGCCCAGCCCCAAUACCUUUUUCUCAGAAAUCUCACUUUGAGCUCUUCAUUUUGGGUUCUUUGGUAGAAAUCUCUGACUUUUUCUAGCAGGAUUCAUAUAUGAUACAAUUUAUCAGUCUUUGGAUAUCGCAGAUUAUUCUUUGUUUUAUUUUACAUGUUAAAGAAAUUACAAAUAGUUACAAAUGGUAUACAAUCUUGGAUUAUAGUAUUUUUCUUUGAAACUUUAUAGAUUACUUUAUAUAUUGCUUAAUUAUAUUUGAUCUUUAAAGUUGCAAGUCACAGCCCACCCUUAAGGUUUACAGGACCCAAGAUGAUUUCAAAUGAAGAUCCGCAUACAGUAUGUUUAAAAUGUCUUAAUCAGGCUAACAAAUACAUUCCAUUUUCCUACUUUGGCAAAUAAAUUUUUAUUACAGUAAUAUUGAAAAAGCUAUGUAACAUGAUUUCUAUACAACAAAGUGUAAAAUAUCAGAUGACUGAAUUUAUUGCACAUAUGUGGGUGUUCAACGGCAAUUUUGGGGUGAGUAAAGACAUAUAUCCUUGAUUAUUUCUGUUUCUUUUGUUCAGUUCACUUUCAGAAACCCUGCUUAUUUUGAUUCUAUCAGUUAUAUAUUUAGCUAUC
rnacentral:lncRNA from 1 species